UUGACCUCAAAUCAGGUAGGACUACCCGCUGAACUUAAGCAUAUCAAUAAGCGGAGGAAAAGAAACUAACAAGGAUUCCCCUAGUAACUGCGAGUGAAGCGGGAAAAGCUCAAAUUUAAAAUCUGGCGGUGUUUUGCYGUCCGAAUUGUAGCCUAGAGAAGUGUUACCCGGACUGGACCAUGUAUAAGUCUCCUGGGAUGGAGCGUCAUAGAGGGUGAGAAUCCCGUCUUUGACAUGGACUACCAGUGCAUUUGUGGUAUGCUCUCAAAGAGUUGAGUUGUUUGGGAAUGCAGCUCUAAAUGGGUGGUAAAUUCCAUCUAAAGCUAAAUAUUGGCGAGAGACCGAUAGCGAACAAGUACCGUGAGGGAAAGAUGAAAAGAACUUUGGAAAGAGAGUUAAACAGUAUGUGAAAUUGUUGAAAGGGAAACGUUUGAAGUCAGUUGUAUUGGUCAGGGAUCAAGCCAGCAAUUAUUGCUGGGUGUAAUUCCUGGACAAUGGGCCAACAUCAGUUUUGAUUGCUGGAGAARGRCAUUGGGAAAGUGGCACCUGCGGGUGUGUUAUAGCCCAUUGUCAUAUACAGUGGUUGGGACUGAGGAAAGCAGCGCGCCGUAAAGGCGGGGUUUCGACCAC
rnacentral:rRNA from 1 species